UACGUAGGGUGCGAGCGUUAAUCGGAAUUACUGGGCGUAAAGCGUGCGCAGGCGGUUUUGCAAGCCGGAUGUGAAAUCCCCGGGCUCAACCUGGGAAUGGCAUUUGGGACUGCAAGGCUCGAGUGCGGCAGAGGGGGGUGGAAUUCCGCGUGUAGCAGUGAAAUGCGUAGAGAUGCGGAGGAACACCGAUGGCGAAGGCAGCCCCCUGGGCUAGCACUGACGCUCAGGCACGAAAGCGUGGGGAGCAAACAGG
rnacentral:rRNA from 1 species